UUUUGAUUCGUCAUGACCAUACAUUUUUUUCUAAAUCUAUGAUGGAGGUAUACAUUUUCAUUGGAGCAGUUUUAUAUCUUUUUACAAUAGCUUAUAUGACUCCUUUAAUAUAAAAAAACACUCCAAUUUGAUUGUUAAUCCGGUUGGUUUCAUAUCCAUUGUUGCUAGUUAUUGAUAUAUUGAGCAACCAUGUUUAAUGAUGCAUGCAUCUCAAUUAAGACUAUAAUGGUGGCUUGAUGGGAAAUGGAGAAA
rnacentral:lncRNA from 1 species